AUGAAAAGAACCAAUUGCUUCUUGGUAUCCGCCGUGCUAGCUGACCACAAACUGCGAUGCCUUCCUCAGUAUUGUCAACUGAUAGUACGCACUUGGGACUUCUUGCUGCAGCAGCUCAUGCGGCUGCAACCAAUAGCCCUUUCACUAUUUUCUAUAACCCAUAUAACAUGCGUGUCCAUCCAAAUUUGUCAUACCCUGAGUAAAUUAUUGGAAGAGGAGAAAGCAAGAAUGACUAACAUCAAGGAUCACGGUACACAAUCCAAGGCUUUGCUUCAGGCAUCCAAUCAGAAGAGAAAUUUGCUUAGUGGAGAAGUUCGUCAUCUCAAGGCCGUACUCCUUGAAAAACAAAACAAGUUGAAAUUUUGCGAGUUGGAGACAAUAAAGGUAGAGGCUCAUUUUGAUGACAUAAAAAAAAUGUUGGAGGUUGACAUAACCGUAAAAGAUAAAACUCGAGAAGUAGAAACAACAAGGAUAAAAACUGUAGAGAGAGACACAAAGCAAAUUUCAGCCAAGACAGCGUUGGAGAAUGCUAAACGUGCAUUGGAAAAUUAGUUCCUUUCAACAACUCAAUAAUUGUGUAGUGAAUGAAGUAGAAUAAUUGUGAAUUGUGUACUCGAAGUUUGUUUUGGUAGCUCUUUAGUAGCUUGUUUCUUUUAUAUAACAGAAGCUUAUUUUUCUAAGUACCUUUGAGAUAGUUACAUUUCAUGACCUUGUUCACAUAA